rnacentral:lncRNA from 1 species
UAAGACUUGAACAAAGCAAUGUGAUGCUGCCCAAACCAAGGGAACAAACUGCAGGGGUUAUAGCAGUAGAGGCUGGAGUACUCAGUAAAGCUGCCAACUUCCAAACAGAGGGUGGAGGUAAACUUUCUACAUACCAGCAACAGAUACUCUAGUGGAGUCACACAGAUUCUGUUUUUAUAUUACUAAACUGCACAGUGGACUGAAAUUUAAAACAGAACAAUAAAAUGGAACCUUAAAUUUAAGGAAUGUCUGAAACUACUAUUGAUGCAAGCCAAAGCUUAUAAAAUAGCAGAAAGACAUGGACAAUGAUCUACAGGGAGCAACACUGACUAAAAAAUUCCUCGACAGACAUCAGUGAAAGAAUGAGUCAUGAAAAAAAAGAAAUAGUAGGUCUUUCUCCUUUCAAGUUCUCACUGGUCUUUUUAGAAAAACAGAAACUAGAAGACAGCUAUUAUUCUCCUCCAUGGGAUAGUCUACUCCAUUCAGAUGAAGAAACUGAGGAAUACAGAAUCUAG